GACGAACGCUGGCGGCGUGCUUAACACAUGCAAGUCGAACGGAAAGGCCCUGCUUUUGUGGGGUGCUCGAGUGGCGAACGGGUGAGUAACACGUGAGUAACCUGCCCUUGACUUUGGGAUAACUUCAGGAAACUGGGGCUAAUACCGGAUAGGAGCUCCUGCUGCAUGGUGGGGGUUGGAAAGUUUCGGCGGUUGGGGAUGGACUCGCGGCUUAUCAGCUUGUUGGUGGGGUAGUGGCUUACCAAGGCUUUGACGGGUAGCCGGCCUGGGAGGGUGACCGGCGACAUUGGGACUGAGAUACGGCCCAGACGCCUACGGGAGGCAGCAGUGGGGAAUAUGGCACAGUGGGCGCAAGCCUGAUGCGGCAACGCCGCGUGCGGGAUGACGGCCUUUGGGUUGUAAACCGCUUUCGCCUGUGACGAAGCGUGAGUGACGGUAAUGGGUAAAGAAGCACCGGCUAACUACGCG
rnacentral:rRNA from 1 species